rnacentral:rRNA from 1 species
CUCAGGACGAACGCUGGCGGCGUGCCUAAUACAUGCAAGUCGAACGGUCUUUCUAUGGAAGCUUGCUUCCACUGAGAAGAUAGUGGCGAACGGGUGAGUAACACGUGGGUAACCUGCCCAUAAGAGGGGGAUAACAUCCGGAAACGGGUGCUAAUACCGCAUAGUUUUCUUGAUCGCAUGAUCGGGAAAGGAAAGACGGCCUUUGUGCUGUCGCUUAUGGAUGGACCCGCGGCGUAUUAGUUAGUUGGUGAGGUAACGGCUCACCAAGACGAUGAUACGUAGCCGACCUGAGAGGGUGAUCGGCCACAUUGGGACUGAGACACGGCCCAAACUCCUACGGGAGGCAGCAGUAGGGAAUCUUCCGCAAUGGACGAAAGUCUGACGGAGCAACGCCGCGUGAGUGAAAGAAGGUUUUCGGAUCGUAAAACUCUGUUGUCAGAGAAGAACAAGUUGGAGAGUAACUGCUCCAGCCUUGACGGUAUCUGACCAGAAAGCCACGGCUAACUACGUGCCAGCCGCGGC